GAGGACUCAUUGUCUCUGCCACACACGUCCACUGCUUCAUCUGAUCCUCCCAACAGCCCUAUAACACCAGCAGUGUAUGCAUCAUGAUCUCCAUUUUACUGAUGACACAGAGGUUAAGUGACUGAACUGGCAAAAAACAAGUGAAAAGCCGACUGAGAACUUGAAACCAGGCCUUCUGAUACUAUGCUGGAGAAGGAACCAUGUUGUUUGCUGUGUGGCCAACAGCUCAGUUCAGCAACUGAGGAUUCAGUUUCAUUCAGGAGGAUGUGGUUAUUGAAUCAUUCCAAUGUCCACUUGAUGCCAAGUUUCCUGAGGGACUCCGGCCUAGAUGCACAGCUUCUCUGGGCCUGGUGCCUCUCUGGGAAAUGCCAGCCAUAAGCCUGAGCCUGGGAGAGAGAGCAGAUUCCAUUCUUCCUGUAUCCAGAGCAGCAGUCACAUAGUUCCACAGAAACGGCCGUGGGUUGCAACGCCUGUCUCUCUGCCCUGGCUGACUCCUGUAUCUUUGCAUUCUUAGGCCACUCACCUCUGCCAAGAUAAUUUUAAGAUAGCAUUUUGGUGUGCUCUGGUGUGUUAUGCUCCCUUUAGAUAAGAGAAAGACCAGGUUCGUGGAAGUUAGAUGACUCGGCCCGGUGAUAAAGGCUGGUUAACAUCUUAAUGGAGGUAAGUGGUUCCAGCAAUUCCAUUAGGAGAGAGACUUCUGGCGGGGAAGCGUAAGCGUGUGAAGAAAGUUGAGCGAGGAAAGAAGCCACAAUUCUGAAAUGAACUAGUGUUUUACAUCAAAAACAGUCCUUUUUGGAAGGAGGACAGCCGCGUGGUUACGGAAAGGGGGCUCCGAGGCCGGCGCUGCAGUGUUUCGCCGGAGGAAGACAGCCGCGUAAGCAGGACCAUCUGGAGAGGAG
rnacentral:lncRNA from 1 species